rfam:Ciona savignyi cont_29443, whole genome shotgun sequence.
GUCGUCGUGGCCGAGUGGUUAAGGCGACAGACUAGAAAUCUGUAGGGCUCUGCCCGCACAGGUUCGAAUCCUGUCGGCGACG